GCGAGCCGGUUUGUGCUCAGUGUCCUGUGCACACCCUUGCAAGCGUCGGCGCCAUGAGUAUGACGUCCAGCAUACGAGUUGAAUGGAUCCCAGCUGUUACCAUUGCUGCUGGAACAGCUGCAGUUGGUUAUCUAGCUUACAAAAGAUUUUAUGUUAAAGAUCAUCGCAACAAAUCUAUGGUAAACCCUCACAUCCAGAAAGACAACCCCAAGGUAGUACAUGCUUUUGACAUGGAGGAUUUGGGAGAUAAAGCCGUGUACUGCCCUUGUUGGAGGUCCAAAAAGUUCCCACUCUGUGAUGGAUCUCACACAAAACACAAUGAAGAAACUGGAGACAACGUGGGACCUCUGAUCAUUAAGAAAAAAGACACUUAAAUGGACACUCUUGAUGCUGCAAACCA